rnacentral:rRNA from 1 species
CAGUAGCCACGGUAAUACGGAGGGUGCAAGCGUUAUCCGGAUUUAUUGGGUUUAUAGGGUCCGUAGGCGGACUUAUAAGUCAGUGGUGAAAGCCUGUCGCUUAACGAUAGAACUGCCAUUGAUACUGUAAGUCUUGAGUAUAUUUGAGGUAGCUGGAAUAAGUAGUGUAGCGGUGAAAUGCAUAGAUAUUACUUAGAACACCAAUUGCGAAGGCAGGUUACCAAGAUAUAACUGACGCUGAGGGACGAAAGCGUGGGUAGCGAACAGGAUUAGAUACCCGCGUAGUCCCUGUCUCUUAUAC